UGUCAAGUGCAGUGAUAGACAAGUAGAGCUGUCGGACAUCUGUGAUUUUAUCUGGCAUACUGUUUGUCUGCGGAUACUAGGCAACCGUGUUUGCUCCAACCACGCAUGUCGCGAUAUUUACUUUUUGGGUAACGGCAGGUAUUGCUGCAGGACUAGGAUAUACUGCUAGUAUAGUUGCUAUUGGAUUCAAUCUUAAAAGAAGAAGGAACAUUGCGUUAGAUGUUACUUUGUCUGGAACGGGCGCUGGAAUAUUCGCGUUUGCUCCACUUAUGGAUCUUGCUCAUCUCAUGCGCACUACGGUUCAACUGGCUUUUUUAUUGUCAUGGCAACGCUAUCAGCAAAUGCAAUAGUUUUAGGAACUCUUAGCUUGAAAAAUACAUACACAUAAACAGCGUGAAAUAAUAGACGCUGAAUUGAAGUUUAAAGACCGACUUGUUACAACUCUAAAAAUGUAUCCUAGAUCGGUUAUUAAAAUGCCUGUAGUUCUGCUCUCUGUAGCUACAUUUUGCAUUUUGCGGUGUUAUGGACAUGAUAUUUCUACAUUUACCAGUUUUUGUGAUCUCUAAAGGGUUUACGUCAGUACCAGCGGCAUUUAUAGUUUCACUAGGAGGUAUAAUGGGUUUCAUUGGACGUGUCAUUGCUGGUCUUUUGGCAAACUGUAGUAAAAUCAAUGUCAUUUGGCUGUAUAGCGGUUGUUUAUGUACAGUGUCUGUAACAACAAUACUAUAUCCAUUCGUUUCGAACUUCUAUACUGGCCAUUUAAUCUAUAAUUUAGGUUUAGGUCUUUUCUUUGGCAGUGGUUAUGUGUUAGUUUCUCCAAUGUGUUCAUAUUUCGUCGACAUUCAGUUCGUAGCAGCGGCUAUUGGAUUUGUGUUUUUGUUUGCUGGAGCAGCUUCCCUUUUUGGACCAGUACUUGCAGGUAUUGUACUUGACAACGAUGGAACCUAUAGCCAAUGUAUUUAUAAAGCAGG
rnacentral:lncRNA from 1 species